rnacentral:rRNA from 1 species
AAGAGACAGCAGUCGCCACGGGAAUACGGAGGGGGCUAGCGUUGUUCGGAAUUACUGGGCGUAAAGCGCACGUAGGCGGCUUGGUAAGUUAGAGGUGAAAGCCCGGAGCUCAACUCCGGAAUUGCCUUUAAGACUGCCGAGCUAGUAGGUGAGAGAGGUAAGUGGAAUUCCGAGUGUAGAGGUGAAAUUCGUAGAUAUUCGGAAGAACACCAGUGGCGAAGGCGGCUUACUGGCUCAUUCUAGACGCUGAGGUGCGAAAGCGUGGGGAGCAAACAGGAUUAGAUACCCCCGUAGUCCCUGUCUCUUAUAC